rnacentral:rRNA from 1 species
GGUGAACGCUGGCGGCGUGCUUAAGACAUGCAAGUCGAACGGCAGUCUUCGGACCGUAGUGGCGCACGGGUGAGUAACGCGUAACUGACCUACCCCAAAGUCGCGGAUAACGAUUCGAAAGAAUCGCUAAUACGUGAUGUGCUGUCAGAUUGUGUUCUGCCAGUAAAGAUUGAUUGCUUUGGGAUGGGGUUGCGUUCCAUCAGCUAGUUGGUGGGGUAAAGGCCCACCAAGGCGACGACGGAUAGCCGGCCUGAGAGGGUGGCCGGCCACAGGGGCACUGAGACACGGGUCCCACUCCUACGGGAGGCAGCAGUUAGGAAUCUUCCACAAUGGGCGAAAGCCUGAUGGAGCGACGCCGCGUGAGGGAUGAAGGUCUUCGGAUCGUAAACCUCUGAAUCAGGGACGAAAGACACUUCGGUGGGAUGACGGUACCUGAGUAAUAGCACCGGCUAACUCCGUGCCAGCCGCCGCCGUAAUAC